rnacentral:rRNA from 1 species
GAUGAACGCUAGCUACAGGCUUAACACAUGCAAGUCGAGGGGAAACGGCAUUAAGUGCUUGCACUUUUUGGACGUCGACCGGCGCACGGGUGAGUAACGCGUAUCCAACCUUCCCAUGACUAAGGGAUAACCUGCCGAAAGGCAGACUAAUACCUUAUGGUCUUCACUGACGGCAUCAGAUGUCAAGUAAAGAUUUAUCGGUUAUGGAUGGGGAUGCGUCUGAUUAGCUUGUUGGCGGGGUAACGGCCCACCAAGGCAACGAUCAGUAGGGGUUCUGAGAGGAAGGUCCCCCACAUUGGAACUGAGACACGGUCCAAACUCCUACGGGAGGCAGCAGUGAGGAAUAUUGGUCAAUGGGCGAGAGCCUGAACCAGCCAAGUAGCGUGCAGGAUGACGGCCCUAUGGGUUGUAAACUGCUUUUGUAUGGGGAUAAAGUCAAUCACGUGUGAUUGUUUGCAGGUACCAUACGAAUAAGGACCGGCUAAUUCCGUG